CCUACGGGUGGCAGCAGUGGGGAAUAUUGCGCAAUGGGGGCAACCCUGACGCAGCAACGCCGCGUGAUUGAAGAAGGCCUUCGGGUUGUAAAGAUCUUUAAUCGGGGACGAAUUUUGACGGUACCCGAAGAAUAAGCUCCGGCUAACUACGUGCCAGCAGCCGCGGUCAUACGUAGGGAGCAAGCGUUAUCCGGAUUUACUGGGUGUAAAGGGUGCGGAGGUGGUUUGGUAAGUUGGCGGUGUAAUUCCGGGGCUCAACCUCGGCGCUACCGCCAAAACUAUUAGACGAGAGUGCAGGAGGGGUAGGUGGAAGUCCUGGUGUAGCGGUGGAAUGCGUAGAUAUUAGGAAGAACAUCAGGGGCGAAGGCGACUUACUGGACUGUAACUGACACUGAGGCACGAAAGCGUGGGGAGCAAACAGGAUUAGAUACCCUUGUAGUC
rnacentral:rRNA from 1 species